UACGUAGGGGGCAAGCGUUGUCCGGAAUCAUUGGGCGUAAAGAGCGUGUAGGCGGUUCGGUAAGUCGGCUGUGAAAGUCCAGGGCUCAACCCUGGGAUGCCGGUCGAUACUGCCGUGCUUGAGGACUGGAGAGGAGACUGGAAUUUACGGUGUAGCGGUGAAAUGCGUAGAUAUCGUAAGGAAGACCAGUGGCGAAGGCGGGUCUCUGGACAGUUCCUGACGCUGAGGCACGAAGGCCAGGGGAGCAAACGGG
rnacentral:rRNA from 1 species